rnacentral:rRNA from 1 species
GCCCCACGACGCAGCAGUAGGGAAUCUUCGGCAAUGGGCGAAAGCCUGACCGAGCAACGCCGCGUGAAUGAAGAAGGCCUUCGGGUUGUAAAAUUCUGUUAUAAGGGAAGAAAGGUGAUAGGAGGAAAUGACUAUCAAUUGACGGUACCUUAUGAGAAAGCCACGGCUAACUACGUGCCAGCAGCCGCGGUAAUACGUAGGUGGCAAGCGUUAUCCGGAAUUAUUGGGCGUAAAGGGAGCGCAGGCGGCGCGCCAAGUCUGAUGUGAAACCCCGGGGCUCAACCCCGGGCAUGCAUUGGAAACUG